rnacentral:rRNA from 1 species
GACGAACGCUGGCGGCGUGGAUUAGGCAUGCAAGUCGAACGGUAUCAUCCUUUCGGGGGUGAGAGAGUGGCGAACUGGUGAGUAACACGUAGGUUAUCUACCCUCAAGACGGGGACAACCCAGGGAAACUUGGGCUAAUACCGGAUGUGAGCAACUUUUAGUUGUUUGAAAGGUGGCGUAAGCUGUCGCUUGGGGAUGAGCCUGCGUCCUAUUAGUUAGUUGGUGAGGUAACGGCUCACCUAGGCAAUGAUAGGUAGGCGGCCUUAACGGGUGGUCGCCCACACUGGGAUUGAGAUACGGCCCAGACUCCUACGGGGGGCAGCAGUGGGGGAUCUUGCACAAUGGGCGAAAGCCUGAUGCAGCGACGCCGCGUGAGCGAAGAAGGCCUUCGGGUUGUAAAGCUCUGUCUGGAGGGACGAAGGAAGUGACGGUACCCCAGGAGGAAGCCCCUGCUAACUACGUG